UAUUGGAAACGCUCAUAGCAUCUUUUGAAAAGAACUUGACAGGUUUUAUUUUAAUAAGACAUAGUGAAGAGGAAAUGGCUUAAAAGAUAUCAUCAAUCUUUUAUUUAACUAAGCACUGCCCUUCAUUUUGAAGGAAAUGAUACAAUUUCAAAUCGGAACUUCCUUCUCAAGAAGUGAUAUAAGAAUGUAACAUUGAUUUAACAUACAACCUUCAACAAAAAUAAAGUUUAUACAACUCACUGGGAAAUAAAAUGCAUGUGGAAUUUAUCCUGUUUGUCAACAUAAUUCUUCAUGAGUCACAAGUAUUAUAGCCAAGAACAAAACAACAAAAAGCUGAAUCAGUUGAUAGUUACUCUGAUUUAAAAAACAUUUCACAAAUAAGAUGUAGCUUUCCAAACAAAUCCAUUCGAUGACCAUUAUCACAACUAUAUUUUAUUCUAAUUUAUAAAACAAAAAAUGGUUAGACAAGCACAUGAUAUCAAGAGUCUUCAACACAGUGGAUUCCAUUUUAUUAAGAAAAAAAAUAGAAAACAAGUAGUCCUUAAAUUGUCUUAGCUCUCCAUAGCAUACGUUAUAUAAAAUUAAAGUUUUGCUUCCAAAAAUAUGUUUCCAUGUGGUCGUGGUGUUGUCCAGUGCUAUUAGGGCCAAAGCACCAAAGACAUGAGAAGUUUAACCAUCGACUUGUCAUUUUUCAUAAAAACUAAACAUUUCCUUAUAGGUCUGGAGUAAAAUCUUCUAGGCAUUUUAGUGCUAAAAGUCACUUUAAAUUAAAUGUGAAAUAAAAGCUACAAAAAGUAUGAGUUCUUUCAAUACAAAAAGUUGUGUAGCUGAAGUUGUGGGCUCCUUUGACAUACAUAAGCAGUUUCAAUAAAAUAUUUGCUCAGGUAAGAAAAUAGAAAUUUGUCUGCUUUCAUUUAGCAUACGUUCCAGUCGAUGUCCUGCUUAUCCCUGCCAGAACUUCUGAAGAACAUUAGAAUCGAUAUUUCUUUCCUUCAAAGAGCAUCCGUAAUUCACAGUACAAAACAGUUCUACAGUCUUAGGCCGCGACGGCCCUGGCUGGCGUCAGUCAGGAAGCUGUUAAUCACCUCCAGCCGGUGCAGGUGCACCACCUGGAAGUUACCCACAUAUACGGCCCAGUGCGGGUACUGAGCCUGCGACACGAACUCCACCAGAUCGCCCGGCUUGCACUUGUUGAGCAGGUUCUCGGGCGUGUAGGUACUCAGCGCCGCCGAGCCCGGCGCGAAGCUCUUCUGGUAGAUGCAUUCGUCCCGGUAGAACACGGAGCAUUCCACCUCGUGCAGCCGCGGAUCGUAGGGCUGCGGCUGGGGCGGCGGCUGCGGCUCCACGUCCUCAUCGUCAUUGGAGAAAAUGUAGGAGACCCCAAUGCGGGGCCCGUCGUCCCGGUCCACGCCAGUCGGGUCGGCCGUGGGAACUUCCUUGUAACUUAGGUGGGUCAAUUUCUCCACCUGGUUGCCCAUCACGCUGCGGACACACGUUCACACCGCCGCAAGGGGAGAAAGCGACACCCGCGGAGAGGUGAAGGCCGUGGGGCCUGGGGAAGGGCUCCCUGCCGCGCCCCGAGACUUCUAGGGCGAGUUUGAAGGUGUAGGCUCGGCAGUCCCUCCUCUCCCGGCGCGGGCGGCAGCGAGGCUGGGCAGAGGGCAGCGCAGCGGGCAGACUAGGGGCAUGUCUUUCCCCCGCGGCUGCGUAGCGCCCCGAUACUUGAAGGCGGGGGGCAAUCCCUGUUCACACCGCGCUUCCUCCCGCCAGCUGGGGCUGCUGCCCCUCCUCAGCCAGCUCUCGGGGGAGGUGGGGCGCGAGGAGGAGAGGACGGCAGCCUCGCAGCCUGGCGGCAACAGCUCCCGCUUGGGCCGGGCGAGCAACAAGCACCGGAGCUGGAGGGACGGGAUUGUAGAUCCGGCUCCGGGCUCCCGGGCGGGAGCGCAGCC
rnacentral:lncRNA from 1 species